rnacentral:rRNA from 1 species
UACGGUGGGGGCAAGCGUUGUUCGGAAUUACUGGGCGUAAAGCGUGCGCAGGCGGUUUUGUAAGCCAGAUGUGAAAGCCCCAGGCUCAACCUGGGAACUGCGAUGGAAACUGGCAAGCUUGAGUGCGGCAGAGGGGGGUGGAAUUCCGCGUGUAGCAGUGAAAUGCGUAGAGAUGCGGAGGAACACCGAUGGCGAAGGCAGCCCCCUGGGCCGACACUGACGCUCAGGCACGAAAGCGUGGGGAGCAAACAGG